rnacentral:rRNA from 1 species
GACAGAGGAUGCAAGCGUUAUCCGGAAUCACUGGGCGUAAAGCGUCUGUAGGUGGUUCAAUAAGUCAACUGUUAAAUCUUGAGGCUCAACUUCAAAAUCGCAGUCGAAACUAUUGGACUCGAGUAUAGUAGGGGUAAAGGGAAUUUCCAGUGGAGCGGUGAAAUGCGUAGAGAUUGGAAAGAACACCAAUGGCGAAAGCACUUUACUGGGCUAUUACUGACACUGAGAGACGAAAGCUAGGGUAGCAAUGGG